rnacentral:rRNA from 1 species
UAAGGAAUAUUGGUCAAUGGACGAAAGUCUGAACCAGCCAUGCCGCGUGAAGGAUGACGGCCCUCUGGGUUGUAAACUUCUUUUAUCUGGGACGAAAAAAGAUCAUUCCUGAUCACUUGACGGUACCAGAGGAAUAAGCACCGGCUAACUCCGUGCCAGCAGCCGCGGUAAUACGGAGGGUGCAAGCGUUAUCCGGAUUUACUGGGUGCAAAGGGAGCGUAGGUGGGUCUGUAAGUCAGUGGUGAAAUCUCCGGGCUUAACUCCGAAACUGCCAUUGAUACUAUAGAGCUUGAAUGUUCUGGAGGUAAGCGGGAUAUGUCAUGUAACGGUGAAAUGCUUAGGUAUGACAUAGAACACCCAUUGCGAAGGCAGCUUGCUACAGGAUUAUUGACACUGGGGCUCGAAAGCGUGGGGGUCAAACA